rnacentral:rRNA from 1 species
GACGAACGCUAGCGGGAGGCCUAACACAUGCAAGCCGAGGGGUAUGAUUCUUUCUGGGUUCGGAGAUCGGCGCACGGACGCGUAACUCGUAUGUAACUUACCUCAUUCACUGUGUUAGACCUCCGCAAGGAGGAUUAAUACCGGCCAACACUAAUCUGGUCAUCCACUUUGGUUGUAAGAUUUAUCGGACUGGGAUAGACAUGCGUCCGAUUAGCUAGUUGGUGAGGUAACGGCUCACCAAGCCGAUGAUCUGUAGGGGGCCUGCGGGGGUGCGCCCUCACAGUGGUACUGAGAAACUGGCCAGAGUCAUACGGGAGGCAGCACUAAGGGAUAUUGGACAGUGGAAGAGAGCCUGAUCCAGGCAACCCGCGUGCAGGAAGGCGGCGCGAUGGGUGGUAACCUGCUUUUGGAUGGGAAUAAACCACCGUGCGCGUGGGGUGUUGAAGGUACCAGACGAAUAAGCACCGGCUAACUACGUG